AGCGAACGCUGGCGGCAGGCCUAACACAUGCAAGUCGAACGAAGUCUUCGGACUUAGUGGCGGACGGGUGAGUAACACGUGGGAACGUGCCCUUUGGUACGGAAUAACUCAGGGAAACUUGAGCUAAUACCGAAUGUGCCCUUCGGGGGAAAGAUUUAUCGCCUUUAGAGCGGCCCGCGGCUGAUUAGCUAGUUGGUGAGGUAAAGGCUCACCAAGGCGACGAUCAGUAGCUGGUCUGAGAGGAUGAUCAGCCACAUUGGGACUGAGACACGGCCCAAACUCCUACGGGAGGCAGCAGUGGGGAAUCUUACGCAAUGGGCGAAAGCCUGACGCAGCCAUGCCGCGUGAAUGAUGAAGGUCUUAGGAUUGUAAAAUUCUUUCACCGGGGACGAUAAUGACGGUACCCGGAGAAGAAGCCCCGGCUAACUUCGUGCCAGCCGCCGGGUAAAAC
rnacentral:rRNA from 1 species